UGCGCAGGCGGAGCGAUUAGUCAGUGGUGAAAUCCUACGGCUUAACUGUAGAAUUGCCAUUGAUACUGUCGUUCUUGAGUAUAGUUGAAGUGGGCGGAAUGUGUCAUGUAGCGGUGAAAUGCAUAGAGAUGACACAGAACACCAAUCGCGAAGGCAGCUCUCUAAACUAUAACUGACGCUCAGGCACGAAAGCGUGGGUAGCGAACAGGAUUAGAUACCCUGGUAGUCC
rnacentral:rRNA from 1 species